rnacentral:pre_miRNA from 1 species
AUCUGCACAUCAUCGCCUCACAAUAUAUAUAUAUAUAUAUUAAUAUAUAUAUAUAUUGUGAGGCGAUGAUGUGCAGGU